GAAAAUACGAAGAAAAGAAGUAGUAGGCAGCAUGGAAUGUGACAGAGAGUCCCGGAAGGUGGAAUGGGAUACAGAAAGUGUUACCGAAUUCCUCUUGGAGUAGAGUGCUGAACGUAUUGACCAGUAGGCAUUUCCGGCAGCAGCCGUUAUCUGCGAGGGUAUAUCUGGAGACAGCGUACCUGGUGAGGCAGUCAUCGCGAGAUGACUGUGAAGUGAGGUGGAACCACGAUGAUUGUAUCGUCCUCUGA
rnacentral:ncRNA from 1 species